UCGUAACAAGGUUUCCGUAGGUGAACCUGCGGAAGGAUCAUUACCGAGUGCGGGUUCUGACGAGCCCAACCUCCCACCCGUGUUUACCGUGACCAUGUUGCCUCGGCGGGCCCACUGAGGCCCAGCCUCGGUCGCCGGGGGGCUUCGUGCCCCCGGGCCCGCGCCCGCCGAAGCGCCCUGGAACCCUUUGUGAAGAGUGAGUCUGAGCGUGAGAUUGAAUCAUUAAAACUUUCAACAACGGAUCUCUUGGUUCCGGCAUCGAUGAAGAACGCAGCGAAAUGCGAUAAGUAAUGUGAAUUGCAGAAUUCCGUGAAUCAUCGAAUCUUUGAACGCACAUUGCGCCCCCUGGCAUUCCGGGGGGCAUGCCUGUCCGAGCGUCAUUUCUGCCCUCCAGCGCGGCUGGGUGUUGGGUGCUGUCCCCCCGGGGACACGCCCCAAAGGCAGUGGCGGCGCCGCGUCGGGUCCUCGAGCGUAUGGGGCUCUGUCACCCGCUCGGGAAGGACUCGCCGGCGCCUGGUCUCCUUCAACUAAUUUUCCGGUUGACCUCGGAUCAGGUAGGGUUACCCGCUGAACUUAAGCAUAUCAAUAA
rnacentral:misc_RNA from 1 species